GUGAGGAAUAUUGGACAAUGGGCGCAAGCCUGAUCCAGCCAUGCCGCGUGCAGGAAGACGCAUCUAUGGUGUGUAAACUGCUUUUGUACGGGAAGAAACACUCCCUCGUGAGGGAGCUUGACGGUACCGUAAGAAUAAGGAUCGGCUAACUCCGUGCCAGCAGCCGCGGUAAUACGGAGGAUCCAAGCGUUAUCCGGAAUCAUUGGGUUUAAAGGGUCCGUAGGCGGUUUAAUAAGUGAGUGGUGAAAGCCCAUCGCUCAACGAUGGAACGGCCAUUGAUACUGUUAGACUUGAAUUACAAGGAAGUAACGAGAAUAUGUAGUGUAGCGGUGAAAUGCUUAGAUAUUACAUGGAAUACCAAUUGCGAAGGCAGGUUACUACUUGUGGAUUGACGCUGAUGGACGAAAGCGUGGGGAGCGAACAGGAUUAGAUACCCCAGUAGUCC
rnacentral:rRNA from 1 species